ensembl:snRNA U6 U6 spliceosomal RNA
GUGCUCACUUUAGUUGGCACACAUACUAAAAUGGAGUGAUAGAAAGGUUAGCAUGACCCCUGUGGAAGGAUGAUAUGAAAAAUUUAUAAAGCAUUCCAUAAUUUU